UACGGAGGGGACUAGCGUUGUUCGGAAUUACUGGGCGUAAAGCGCACGUAGGCGGACUGAUCAGUCAGGGGUGAAAUCCCGGGGCUCAACCCCGGAACUGCCUCUGAUACUGUCAGUCUUGAGUUCGAGAGAGGUGAGUGGAAUUCCGAGUGUAGAGGUGAAAUUCGUAGAUAUUCGGAGGAACACCAGUGGCGAAGGCGGCUCACUGGCUCGAUACUGACGCUGAGGUGCGAAAGCGUGGGGAGCAAACAGG
rnacentral:rRNA from 1 species